rnacentral:sRNA from 1 species
UGGUAUUUCCUGAUACGAAGAGUUGACGAAAGAGCGAUUUGCGGAGAUAUUGAGAUAAGGUGGUCAAAUCUGCAAAGGGGAUCAUCAACCUUGAAAAUGAAAACUGCGUUGAAAUUGUCUCGAAGAGGGUCGUUUAACAUUUUCAAGGUAGUAAGAGCAUCGUGGCGUAGCAGAGAAUAUGACCAGGGGGACAUUUUAUAGAGGAUGUUCAUUCCUCGUUUUCCAUCAAAGAAAAUAGGCACAUCAGAGGGUGGGAGCUUCGAGAUCCCAUCUGCAUACAGUACGAAUGGUUGGAUAAGAUUUCUGCCACAAAGGAACUGAAUUGUAGCUUUGAAGAUUUGGAAGCUGCUGUAGCUCGGGGAGAGAAGCGGUUUCCCAUUAGGUCCCCCCGCUUCGAGGAGUAGGGCUACGAGAGUAGCCCACUCACAGUGGCCAAAGCCGCCUUGUGCAAAAGAGGUCCCAAAACCUCUCUGCUGAAGCCAAAUCCGGCCGAGGAUACAUGCAUCUCGAUAGGCCGUGCAUUUGACACUGGCAGCAUAUUGAAGCUUCAAGAACGCCGAAACAGAUGCC